AAACGCGACUCACCUUUUUUUCAUUGGCGAAUUUCAUGAAAGAAAGUAUAUUUACUUAGCUCGAACAAUUAUUGUACUAAGAUAAAAUUUUGUGCCUAAAACAUUUUGUUCUUCCAAGGGCUUCUUAAAAAGGGCUCAAAGGCCUAGUUUUCAGAGCCGUACAAUAAAAAACAUUUAAAAUCAGCCUAUACCGCGCCAAUAUCCCGCUCAAAUAGCAAUGGACGCAAUACGUACGCAAAAAAAAACGGAUAAGUGCGAGUAGGACUCGCGCACCGAGGCGAUGGUUCCGUACAAACUAGUAGAUUUCACCAUGAGCCACCAGAGCCUACGCGACGCGCUGUCUGAUCGAUGUUAUUGAUCCGUGGAUGACAUUAUGUUUACUUAAGUCAUAAAUCUGUUUACAUUGAACAGUUAUAAUGUAAUUUUUUACCAUACAUGAGGACGUACUAUAUAUAAAUAAACAAUAUUUAUAUUUGAAUUUCCGUAACUCAAUAGAUUUAGGAAAUAAACAAUGAGUAAAAAAACACCUAAGUUUGUAGCUUGAUAUCAUGGCUGUAUGUGCGACUUCAUGAAUUACCUAGUUAUAGUGAAGUUUAAGUAGGUCAAGACCAAGAAUAAAUCAAUCCUCAUGGAUUAAAA